AGAAUCACUGAGAGCUGCUACCGCCGGCUC
rnacentral:piRNA from 1 species